rnacentral:rRNA from 1 species
UGGGGAAUAUUGCACAAUGGGCGCAAGCCUGAUGCAGCCAUGCCGCGUGUAUGAAGAAGGCCUUCGGGUUGUAAAGUACUUUCAGCGAGGAGGAAGGCGUUGUGGUUAAUAACCGCAACGAUUGACGUUACUCGCAGAAGAAGCACCGGCUAACUCCGUGCCAGCAGCCGCGGUAAUACGGAGGGUGCAAGCGUUAAUCGGAAUUACUGGGCGUAAAGCGCACGCAGGCGGUCUGUCAAGUCGGAUGUGAAAUCCCCGGGCUCAACCUGGGAACUGCAUCCGAAAGUGGCAGGCUAGAGUCUUGUAGAGGGGGGUAGAAUUCCAGGUGUAGCGGUGAAAUGCGUAGAGAUCUGGAGGAAUACCGGUGGCGAAUGCGGCCCCCUGGACAAAGACUGACGCUCAGGUGCGAAAGCGUGGGGAGCAAACA